rnacentral:rRNA from 1 species
AGGGUGUAAACGCUGCAGACUUGGUGUUGGAAGCCCUUUGGGGGCAUUCAGUGCCGGAGAGAAGUUGUUAAGUCUGCUACUUGGGGAGUACGUCCGCAAGGAUGAAACUUAAAGGAAUUGGCGGGGGGAGCACCGCAACGGGAGGAGCGUGCGGUUUAAUUGGAUUCAACACCGUAAAACUCACCAGGGAAGACUGUUACAUGAAGGCCGAGAUGAAGACUCUGCUAGAUUUUCAGAGAGGUGUGCAUGGCGUCAGUGACU